UACGUAGGGGCUAGCGUUGUCCGGAUUAUUGGGCGUAAAGCGCGUGUAGGCGGCCAGAUAGGUCUGCUGUGAAACUCGGGCUCAACCCGAGAGGUCGGUGGAAACCAUCUGGCUAGAGUCCGGAAGAGGAGAGUGGAAUUCCCGGUGUAGCGGUGAAUGCGCAGAUAUCGGAAGAACACCGUGGCGAAGGCGGUCUCUAGUACGGUACUGACGCUGAGACGCGAAGCGUGGGAGCGAACAGG
rnacentral:rRNA from 1 species